rnacentral:rRNA from 1 species
CCUACGGGAGGCAGCAGUGAGGAAUAUUGGUCAAUGGACGAGAGUCUGAACCAGCCAAGUAGCGUGAAGGAUGACUGCCCUAUGGGUUGUAAACUUCUUUUAUAUGGGAAUAAAAUGUUCCACGUGUGGGCUUUUGUAUGUACUUUAUGAAUAAGGAUCGGCUAACUCCGUGCCAGCAGCCGCGGUAAUACGGAGGAUCCGAGCGUUAUCCGGAUUUAUUGGGUUUAAAGGGAGCGUAGAUGGGUUGUUAAGUCAGUUGUGAAAGUUUGCGGCUCAACCGUAAAAUUGCAAUUGAUACUGGCAGUCUUGAGUACAGUUGAGGUAGGCGGAAUUCGUGGUGUAGCGGUGAAAUGCUUAGAUAUCACGAAGAACUCCGAUUGCGAAGGCAGCUUACUAAACUGCCACUGACAUUGAUGCUCGAAAGUGUGGGUAUCAAACAGGAUUAGAUACCCCAGUAGUC